GCGAAUGUAGUUCAACGGUAGAAUGUGCGGUUGUGGUCCGUAAGACGAGGGUUCGACUCCCUCUUUUCGCC
rnacentral:tRNA from 1 species